AAUCUGGCACCUUCGGUGUCCGAGUUGUAAUCUCUAGAAGUGUUUUCCGCGUUGGACCGCACACAAGUCUGUUGGAAUACAGCGGCAUAGUGGUGAGACCCCCGUAUAUGGUGCGGACGCCCAACGCUUUGUGAUACACUUUCGAAGAGUCGAGUUGUUUGGGAAUGCAGCUCAAAUUGGGUGGUAAAUUCCAUCUAAAGCUAAAUAUUGGCGAGAGACCGAUAGCGAACAAGUACCGUGAGGGAAAGAUGAAAAGCACUUUGGAAAGAGAGUUAACAGUACGUGAAAUUGUUGGAAGGGAAACGCUUGAAGUCAGACUUGCUUGCCGAGCAAUCGGUUUGCAGGCCAGCAUCAGUUUUCCGGGGUGGAUAAUGGUAGAGAGAAGGUAGCAGUUUCGGCUGUGUUAUAGCUCUUUGCUGGAUACACCUUGGGGGACUGAGGAACGCAGUGUGCCUUACGGCGGAUUUCUCGAGAUCUUCACACUUAGGAUGCUGGUGGAAUGGCUUUAAACGACCCGUCUUG
rnacentral:rRNA from 1 species